GGAGAGGUGCGUGAGUGGCUGAAACGGCAUGUCUGGAGAACAUGUGGGCCCGUAAGGGUCUCGUGGGUUCAAAUCCCACCCUCUCCGCCA
rnacentral:tRNA from 1 species